rnacentral:rRNA from 1 species
UACGGAAGGCAGCAGUGGGGAAUUUUGGACAAUGGGCGAAAGCCUGAUCCAGCCAUGCCGCGUGCAGGAUGAAGGCCUUCGGGUUGUAAACUGCUUUUGUACGGAACGAAAAGCCUCUUUCUAAUAAAGAGGGGUCAUGACGGUACCGUAAGAAUAAGCACCGGCUAACUACGUGCCAGCAGCCGCGGUAAUACGUAGGGUGCAAGCGUUAAUCGGAAUUACUGGGCGUAAAGCGUGCGCAGGCGGUUUUUGUAAGACAGAGGUGAAAUCCCCGGGCUCAACCUGGGAACUGCCUUUGUGACUGCAAGGCUGGAGUGCGGCAGAGGGGGAUGGAAUUCCGCGUGUAGCAGUGAAAUGCGUAGAUAUGCGGAGGAACACCGAUGGCGAAGGCAAUCCCUGGGCCUGCACUGACGCUCAUGCACGAAAGCGUGGGAGCAAACGAGGAUUAGAUAACCCG